GGCACGCGGAUGACGCCGUGGCUGUCAUGGCCGGUGAGGUUUGCCGUCGUAAGAUAAGUGGCGAUGCGAUCCGCCUCCGCCUUUGACGAGCCGGCGCGGGAAAAAAUCUCGGAGACGAAGCCGAUGAGCUUCUGAAAGUUUAUAGUGACCAUUUAGACAGUUGCCUUGGUGUGGCCGNCUAGGUAAGCGGCUCUGAUUGCUUCGUUGCUCCAUAGUUCGUCGGGUUUGCCGCCCAGAGCAAGGCGGCCCGUUUCCAGCACGUAGCCAUGAUCGGCAACGGACAAUCCCAUUCGCGCAUUCUGCUCGACAAGUAAAACUGUCGUGUCGCGGCGAAUUUCGGCAAUGAUCCGGAACACCGCCUGCACGAUCACCGGCGCAAGGCCGAGCGACGGCUCAUCCAGCAGCAGGAGACGCGGCUUGGCCAUCAGUCCGCGCGCGACCGCGACCAUUU
rnacentral:misc_RNA from 1 species